UCUCUGAGCAAAAACACCUUAUUAAACAUGUCCAAGGAUCAUACUUCACCGCUGUCUAGUUUCCUUGGCUCACUUACUUGAAAAAUUGGGCAGAAUUCGGUUUCAAAAAUAGAUACUCAUCCUGUUUUCCAGACUUAGAAUUAUUUUAGCAAGGAGCUCGAAAUCUGCUCAAUUGCUGACUUUUGGCUCCAAUUUGAAUUCAAACCUUCCACUUUCUCUGGACAACAACUAUUCAUUUACCUUCUCCAUAGUCCAUAUUACACUAAUGUCCAAAAACAUCUGCUCACUUUUAAGGAAAUUUCUCCAGAAAUUGGUUCUAAAGUCAUGUACUCAAUACCAUUUCCAGACUUAACCAAAUUCCAGCAAAGCUGCCUAUUGUGACAAAGUGCCAACUUUAGGCUUCCAUUUGAAAUAGUUCCC
rnacentral:lncRNA from 1 species